AUGGGCUUCUGUGGGCGAGCUGGCCGGGGCCGCAGAGGCCGAGGACACCGCAGCAGCGGCGCAGCGGGUGGGGCGAGGUGGUCCGUGCUCCUGGAAACGGGCGCGCACUCGCGCCCCUGCGCCCAGGGUGAUGAUGGUCGCGCCCUGGACGCGGUUCUACUCCAAAAGCUGCUGCCUAUGCUGCCGUGUCUGCGUUGGCGCCAUCCUGCUCGGUGUCUGGUACCUGAUCAUCAAUGCUAUGGUACUGUUGCUUUUACUGAGUGCCCUGGCUGAUCCGGAUCAGAAUGACUUUCCAAGUUCUGAAGUGGGAGGUGACUUUGAGUUCACGGAGGAUGCCACCAUGUGCAUUGCCAUUGCGAUUUCUCUUCUCAUGAUCCUGAUAUGUGCUAUGACUACGGAGCAUACAAGCAACACACAGCCUGGAUCAUCCCAUUCUUCUGUUACAAGAUCUUUGAUUUUGCUCUGAACACCUUGGUUGCAAUCACUGUGCUUGUUUAUCUAAACUCCAUUCAGGAAUACAUAGGACAACUGCCUCCUAAUUUUCCCUGCAGAGGAAAUGUCAUGUUGGUGAAUCCUACCUGUUUGGUCCUUAUUAUUCUUCUAUUUAUUAGCAUUACCCUGACUUUUAAGGGUUACUUUGUUAGCUGUGUUUGGAACUGUUACCUUUACAUCAGUGGCAGGAACUCCUCCGAUGUCCUGGCUUAUGUUACCAGCAAUGACACUACAGUACUGCCACCCCCGUAUGAUGACGCCACUGUGAAUGGUGCUGCCAAGGAACCUCCGCCCCGCUACGCGUCUGUCUAAGCCUUCGAGUGGGCGGAGCUGAGAGCAGCAGCUUGACUUUUCAGACAUCUGAGCAAUAGUUCUGUUAUUUCACUUUUGAGGUGAGCUCUCUGAGCUUCUUUGUUGCUGAAAUGCUAAUUUUUAAAAUUUAGAUGUUAGGUUGAAACCUGUAGUUUUCAACAUAUGCUUUGCUAGAACACUGUGAGAGAUUCGCUGUAGAAUUCUUUCUGUAGGAUUGAGGGAGUAAUGGACUUCACUAACCUUCCCUAGGCACUGAAACUUCCCCCAAAUCUAGAUGGAUCUAGAGUCAGAGGAGUCUGGCUUCGUACUUGUUGGGGCCCAAAGUUGGGCAGUCAGUCACACAUUUUCUCUCUGUUCCCUCUCUUUUGAAAGUGUAACAUAAAACCAAAAAUAGACAACAUUUUCUUAAACCAUUCCAAAGUAGAGAACAAAACCUUAUGAAAACAGGAA